GUGAAUUCCCACGCCUACAAUUGUGCUGCUAGGACCCUAAGAAAAAAUUCUUAAGUCUAUCGUUGUAAUCUACAAUAUGAUUUUCAGGUGACGUGGAAGAUUUCGCCCCUACUCCCAAUCAUCCAGGUCCUCCUCCUGAAACUGUCAUCCAAGGUAUAGUCAGUGAAUUCCCAUCCCUGUCACUGCCCUCUGCUGUUUUGCUGCCAGGCCCCAAAUAAAAACAUCUUAAUGUCUGUCCUUAUAAUCUAAACUAUUUAUAGGUGACAUGGAAGAUUUGCCUCUGUUGCUGAAUAGUAGUGAAUAUCCAUGCUAACACCUGUCCUGUGCUGCUUUGCUGCUAGGCCUCUGGGUACCCGUUCUGAAUGUUGGCAUUACAAUCUAUGAAUCUACAAUAUGAUUUUCAGGUGACAUGGUUGAUUUCGCUCCGGUGUCUGUUCAAUCUGGUAAUUCUGAAGAAACUGGAAUCCAAGGUAAACACAUUCCAUCCGAGAGGAGGCGCUGUGUGAAGAGACCGUGGUCGGAAACUAAAGCAAAGGCACAUGAAGCCAUACAUUCUGAACGGACUUCUGGUCAUGAGCGCUCAAUGUGCAUUGUGCAAAGAAAAAGAACACCCCGCAUUAGAAGGACGCACAAUUAAAAAUAUUCGUGAUUUUGUAAGAAAUAAUGGCCUAAAAAAAAUAAAAAGUAGUACACACAUGGAAUUGUCAACACUGCUUUAGUAUCCUCCCAAUCCUGUCUGCAGUCUGUGUGUCAGCUAGUGUCCUUGAAAUAAAGGCCUAAAGAAU